CCUGCAGCUCUGAGAUUCUAUGAUUCUGCUAUGAUGUGAUCAUAGAGUGUUAGUGCUGGGAGG
ensembl:miRNA mdo-mir-12366b mdo-mir-12366b